rnacentral:rRNA from 1 species
AUUGAACGCUGGCGGCAUGCUUUACACAUGCAAGUCGAACGGCAGCGGGGUAGUGCUUGCACUACUGCCGGCGAGUGGCGAACGGGUGAGUAAUAUAUCGGAACGUACCGAGUAAUGGGGGAUAACCAAUCGAAAGAUUGGCUAAUACCGCAUACGUCCUGAGGGAGAAAGCGGGGGAUCGCAAGACCUCGCGUUAUUCGAGCGGCCGAUAACUGAUGAGAUAGUUGGUGGGGUAAAGGCCUACCAAGGCGACGAUCAGUAGCGGGUCUGAGAGGACGAUCCGCCACACGGGGACUGAGACACGGCCAAGACUACUGCGGGAGGCAGCAGUGGGGAAUUUUGGACAAUGGGGGCAACCCUGAUCCAGCCAUGCCGAGUGUAUGAAGAAGGCCUUCGGGUUGUAAAGUACUUUUGUUAGGGAAGAAAAGGGAAGUGCUAAUACCACUUUUUGCUGACGGUACCUAAAGAAUAAGCACCGGCUAACUACGUG